rnacentral:rRNA from 1 species
CACGUAGGGGGCGAGCGUUGUCCGGAUUUAUUGGGCGUAAAGAGCUCGUAGGCGGCUCAGUAAGUCGGGUGUGAAACCUCCAGGCUCAACCUGGAGACGCCACCUGAUACUGCUGUGGCUGGAGUCCGGUAGGGGAGCGUGGAAUUCCUGGUGUAGCGGUGAAAUGCGCAGAUAUCAGGAAGAACACCCGUGGCUAAGGCGGUUCUCUAGUACGGUACUGACGCUGAGACGCGAAAGCGUGGGGAGCAAACAGG